rnacentral:rRNA from 1 species
GCUUGUCUCAAAGAUUAAGCCAUGCAUGUAUAAGUAUAAACGCAUUGAAGCGUGAAACCGCGAACGGCUCAUUACAACAGCUAUAAUUUACUUGAUCUUGACAUCCUACAUGGAUAACUGUGGUAAUUCUAGAGCUAAUACAUGCACCAAAGCUCCAACCCGCAAGGGAAGAGCGCAUUUAUUAGAACAAAACCAAGCGGCUUCGGCUGCCCAACGUUGACUCAGAAUAACUAAGCUGAUCGCAUCGUCUUGUACCGGCGACGUGUCUUUCAAGUAUCUGCCUUAUCAACUUUCGAUGGUACUGUCAUUGACUACCAUGGUGGUGACGGGUAACGGAGGAUCAGGGUUCGACUCCGGAGAAGGGGCCUGAGAAAUGGCCACUACGUCUAAGGAUGGCAGCAGGCGCGCAAAUUACCCACUCUCAGAACAACUAGAGGAGGUAGUGACGAGAAAUAACGAGACCGUUCUCAACAGAGGCCGGUCAUCGGAAUGGGUACAAUUUAAACCCUUUAACGAGUAUCUAUGAGAGGGCAAGUCUGGUGCCAGCAGCCGCGGUAAUUCCAGCUCUCAAAAUGCAUAGAAUUAUUGCUGCGGUUAAAAAGCUCGUAGUUGGAUCUGUGCCAGCAUGCCGGUCCAUCUUCGGAUGCGUACUGGUUCAUUGCCGGCUUUCCUGCAGUUUGUCGGCUCUGUGCCCUUCACUGGGCGCAGUUGUUCGGUGCUGCAAGUUUACUUUGAGCAAAUCAGAGUGCUCUAAACAGGCGUUUCGCUUGAAUGUUCGUGCAUGGAAUAAUAGAAGAGGAUUUCGGUUCUAUUUUAUUGGUUUUAUAGACUGAGAUAAUGGUUAACAGAGACAAACGGGGGCAUUCGUAUUGCUACGUGAGAGGUGAAAUUCUUGGACC